rnacentral:rRNA from 1 species
UACGGAGGGUGCGAGCGUUGUCCGGAAUCAUUGGGCGUAAAGGGCGCGUAGGUGGCUCUUCAAGCGGGCGGUGAAAGCCUGGGGCUCAACCCCGGGUCGGCCGUGCGAACUGGGGGGCUGGAGCACUGUAGAGGCAGGCGGAAUUCCGGGAGUAGCGGUGGAAUGCGUAGAGAUCCGGAAGAACACCGGUGGCGAAGGCGGCCUGCUGGGCAGUUGCUGACACUGAGGCGCGACAGCGUGGGGAGCAAACAGG